GUGACAGCCGGCACUUUCAAGAGCAUUAUAUAUCCAGGAUCCACACUUCUGUGCUGACCAGCCCCACAUAUACAGGUUUAUUAAAUGCAGUAUUAUCAUUUCUGUUUUUAAGACAGCAGUCAUAACUAUAUGAAUUAUACAGGUUCUGGGACUACCUUCAACAUACUGACCUAUCUAUCAUAGCCCCCUAGGGGACUGGUCUCCCCAGAAAUCUGUGUCUAUUACCUGCCCCUAUGAUUAUCUAGGUGGUUUUAAGUGCAAUAGCAGAUUUCUUUGCUAUACCUACCUGCCAAAAUCACCAGGGGAACGACUUCACUAUAAACCCUGCGGUUCUGACUCCCGCAGGGGGUUAAGCUGCAGCUCGGACAAGCUUCCACCUUGUGACCAUUUCUAUCUCCUCCCCCCCUUUGUUGUAUCCCAUUUGUCUUCGCUGACCUGGUUUGUUACUCCACAAUUGUUGAUGAGAAUGUAUUGUAGAUGAAUGCGGCGCCCAGAAGACGCUCCCUUUUGCGAAACAUGUCGGCGACUAGCAUCUAACUCAUCUAACUUUCAUGUGCAUCUCGUCUGUAACAGGGCAACCAAUGAUUUUAUCAUUGCAUUCUAAAUGUUUUCUUUUAUGUAUUUAAAUAAAUUUUGAUAUUUUUCUAUACAAAUGUUAUACCUGGUAUCAUUGGCUCACCUACCCCUGACACGACACACCAUAGAGUCCU